UACGUAGGCGGAAAAUUAAGUCAGUAGUGAAAUCCUGCAGCUCAACUGUAGAACUGUUAUUGAUACUGGUUUUCUUGAAUGUAGUUGAGGUAGGCGGAAUGUGUAAUGUAGCGGUGAAAUGCUUAGAUAUUACACAGAACACCGAUUGCGAAGGCAGCUUACUAAGCUACGAUUGACGCUGAGGUACGAAAGCGUGGGGAGCAAACAGGAUUAGAUACCCUGGUAGUCC
rnacentral:rRNA from 1 species